AUACGGAGGGUGCGAGCGUUAAUCGGAAUUACUGGGCGUAAAGCGCGCGUAGGCGGGCUGGUCAGUUGGGGGUGAAAUCCCGAGGCUUAACCUCGGAACUGCCCUCAAUACUGCCAGUCUUGAGUUCGAGAGAGGUGAGUGGAAUUCCUAGUGUAGAGGUGAAAUUCGUAGAUAUUAGGAAGAACACCAGUGGCGAAGGCGGCUCACUGGCUCGAUACUGACGCUGAGGCGCGAAAGCGUGGGGAGCAAACAGGAUUAGAUACCCCGGUAGUCC
rnacentral:rRNA from 1 species